GUGCUUACUUUGGCAGCACAUAUAGUAAAAUUGGAAUGAUACCGAGAAGAUUACCAUGGCCCUUGUGAAAGUAUUACAUGCAAAUUUGUGAAGUGUUCCAUAUAUAU
rnacentral:snRNA from 1 species